rnacentral:rRNA from 1 species
ACGAACGCUGGCGGCGUGCCUAACACAUGCAAGUCGCACGAGAAAGUCCCGCAAGGGAUGAGUAAAGUGGCGCACGGGUGAGUAACACGUAGGUAACCUGCCUCUAAGACCGGGAUAACCCGUCGAAAGAUGGGCUAAUACCGGAUAAGACCACAGAAGCUGCGGCUUCAGGGGUCAAAGGUAGCCGCUGCAUGCAAGCUAUCACUUAGAGAUGGGCCUGCGCACCAUUAGCUAGUUGGUGGGUAACGGCCUACCAAGGCAAAGAUGGUUAGCUGGUCUGAGAGGAUGAUCAGCCACACUGGGACUGAGACACGGCCCAGACUCCUACGGGAGGCAGCAGUGGGGAAUCUUGCGCAAUGGGCGAAAGCCUGACGCAGCAACGCCGCGUGGGUGAUGAAGGCCUUCGGGUCGUAAAGCCCUGUCGGAAGGAACGAAUGCUCUUGAGACGAAU